rnacentral:SRP_RNA from 1 species
GGCCGAGUCCCAUACGAUAGCUUUGGCGACGAAUCCCGCUAGGUCCGGAAGGAAGCAACGGUACUCGCUGAACUUUGCGAUAUGGGGUGCUCGGCACUU